rnacentral:rRNA from 1 species
UACAGAGGUCCCGAGCGUUGUUCGGAUUCACUGGGCGUAAAGGGUGCGCAGGUGGGUUUGCAAGUUUGAUGUGAAAGCCCCGGGCUUAACCCGGGAAUGGCAUUGAAUACUGCAGAUCUGGAGGAUUGGAGGGGGGACUGGAAUUCUUGGUGUAGCAGUGAAAUGCGUAGAUAUCGUAAGGAAGACCAGUGGCGAAGGCGGGUCUCUGGACAGUUCCUGACGCUGAGGCACGAAGGUCAGGGGAGCAAACGGG